CGCUAGGGAGCAUAGUUCCUGAGAUGCCGCGCCCAAGUCCACAUUUUUACGCGGUCUUCCUGAAAUCUCCGCUGUGCUCCUAUCAGUUUUCAAUUUUCACCUACAUUAAGGUGCCCACAGACCUGGUUCCUGUCCCUUUUCAGCCCUGGUACCCGACCACGGACACCGUGAACUGAGAAGGCAAUCCCAGGCGUGCGGGGCUGACCCAGGGACUGUGCGGGGAGUCCCCAUGGCGCAGAGGAUGGCCCGGGGAAGGGCCUGGGCUCCGCCUGCGUCCUGUAAACCCGAGGCUGUGAGCUUCGCGGACGUGGCCGUGUACUUCUCCCCGGAGGAGUGGAGGUGUCUGCGGCCGGCGCAGAGAGCCCUGUACCGAGAGGUGAUGCGCGAGACCUAUGGUCUCCUGGCCUCUCUCGGACUUGGAGGCGCCAAACCAGCACUCAUCUGCUGGGUGGAGGAAGAGUCCGAAGUGUGGGGACCCUGUGCACAGGAUCCAGAGGUGGCCAUGUGCAGGACAGAAGUCCACUCAGAUUGCAGGCACGAGAAGGAAAGGAAGAGACCAAGAGAAGAGACUGAAGCAAUGCAGAAGACAUUUUCUCCAGAACCUGGGCAGAAGGAGCCACAACUCUCAUUUGCUGGCUCCGCUAGUGGAAUUCAAGCCACGGUCCUAAGGGCAGACAAGCGUCACGGGUGCCAUUUGUGUGGGAAGAGUUUUGCCCAGCGGCCCACAUUGGUGGAGCACCUGUACACUCACACAGGUGAAAAGCCGUUUCAGUGCCCAGACUGCAACAAAUGCUUCGGCCGGGCUUCUUCCCUGACCAUGCACCGAGCCAUACACCGAGGGGAACGGCCGCAUCAGUGUCCUGACUGUGGGAAGAGUUUUACCCAGCGGUCCACAUUGGUGGCACACAUGUAUACUCACACAGGUGAAAAACCAUUUUGUUGCCCCGACUGCAACAAAUCCUUCAGCCGGUCUUCUUCCCUGAGCUCUCACCGGGCCAUACACAGAGGGGAACGGCCUCAUUGUUGCCCUGACUGUGGCCGAGCCUUCACACGUCGCUCUGGCCUCAUUGCCCAUCUCCGUAUCCACACUGGGGAGAAGCCUUACUGUUGUGCUGAUUGUGGACGCUGCUUCAGCCAGAGAUCUGCGUUCCGUGAGCACCAGCGGGUGGUACACAGUGGUGUGACCCCCUUCACUUGCACUCACUGUGGCAGAGCCUUUGCGGAUUCCAAAUAUCUUCGGCGCCACAUGCGCAUCCAUACAGGUGAAAAGCCUUAUUCAUGCCCUGAUUGUGGUCGCUGCUUUCGCCAGAGCUCUGAAAUUCCAGCCCAUAGGAGGACCCACACUGGCGAGCGUCCUUACCCCUGCCCUCAAUGUGGCAGGCAGUUUCGCACAAAGUCAGCUAUGACAAGCCACCAGUGGGUCCAUAGACCAGGAGCUAAAGGCCAUAAGGACAAAAAAGCCCGUCAGUUAUCUAUAUCCCUGGACCCUAGACAAGAGGACCCGGAUCCACCUGUGGGCUUCUAGCAUUACCCAGAGAUAUUCAGAAAGUGUGGGUGAUGGUCUUAAAGGCGUCAACAUAGAGGGUGAGAUAUGUACAUUGUUUGAGGUCCAGAGGGUUGAACCUAUGUCAUCUUCCGGAAGUCACAGACGUUCUAGGUACUGCUGGUCUGGGCACCGGGUACAGUCUUUUUGGUGAUUUCUAGAUGCAUCUGCACACACUCCGGAUGUACUGUCGUCUUUACAUCUAUUGGGCUGGGCUGGGCAACCCUACUAGAGCUCCAUGAGAAGCGAGGGCCUUUUCCUGGCUCAGAAGUAUUGAUAGGCCUGAGGAUGAAGAGAGCCUCGUUGAAGUCAUUGUGUCUUUAAUGCAGAGGCUAAAGUUGAUGGCUCUGUGUGGGUUGAGCCAGCUGCAUUCUCCGGGAUUGAGUUACUGGUCAAGAGCCCGGUGUGGUGGUUCCUGCCUGUGAUUCCCCCACUGGGGAGGUAGAGACAGGAAGAUCAGAAAUUUGAGACCAGUUUGGGUCACCUGAGACUGCAUAUAAACAUAAAUGAAUUUAUUUAUUUAUUAAUAACUGUAAUUAAUUACAGUUUAAAAACCAAAGUAUCUAUCACAUGUACCAAAGGCCCAAGUUUGUAGGUUCUCUGGAAAAAAUCCAAAAUAUUCAGCCCAGCAAACAAGACAGAAGAGUUCUGUGGUCCAUUCUCAGCACUCCAUACACUGUGUGUGCUGGCACAUGCUUGCUUGCAGCCCUUGGUAGCUGGUGGCACAAGGAUGUUCAGAACUUUAAGGCUGCCCUCUGUCACAGACAGACAGACAGACAGACAGACACACACACACACACACACACACUCGAGGUUCAGAUCAGAUCACAGCUACAGCUCCCAUGAGUUGAUUUCAGCAUUGGAAGGAGAGAACCAGGUCUGGAAGACAGUGGAUUUUAGGGUUUUCUGAAUCAAAGAGGGCUUGUAUGAAAUUGGAUGGCGUAGAAUGAAAAGGAAAGAAACAAAUUAACCCAUAAACGAUUUCUGCUCCUCAUUUGUAUUGUAUGUUAUGGCUUUUAAAGUUCUUCCUUGCCUAUCACCUUUUUUGCCUUUCCUCUAUGCCUGGGAGUGGAAGCAGCUUGAAGAAUACUCCAAGUCAGGAGGAGGCCCUGGGGCAGAUAUCUGACCCUACCGCAAGUGGGAAGUGGGCUGUGCUCACCCUGCCCUCCCACCCAUCUCUGUCCACCAGGGAGUAGCCUGCUGGUCAGGAGCUUCUGAAGUAGGAGGGAAAGGCCCUGGGCUGGGCCUCUGUAGCCACUUUUAGACUCCAUUUCUGUUUGAACUGGAGAAAUCUGGGCCUUUCCAUCCCUUUGGGCUCAAAGACACAUCAGAGGAGGCUCAGCAACUGGUCCAAGACCACAGUGAAGCUGCAGGGUCACAGUCCACUGCUGCCUUUAACACUGUGUCUGGGUAGAGGCACAUGUGCAUGCAGAUGCCUGUGGAGGCCAGGAGAGGGUGCUGGAGCUACCCACAAUUGUGAGUGGGCUGAUGUGGGCGCUGGGAACCAAACUAUGGUUCUUUGGAAGAACAGCAAGUGCUCUUAACCUCUGUCCCAUCUCCUCCGCACAAUUUUAAGAGACAGCUUUGCAUGUGUUGCCCUGACCUCAGAGGAUCCUUCUUCUGUAGCCUCCAGGGGACUGAGACUCAAGUGAACAUUAAGUUCACCUCUGCUGUCUUCACAUUUCUGAUGAGUUCCUGACAAGAUGCCUGACAAACAGCUGUGAGUCAAGUCCUGAGGAGUCUGGCAGGAGGAUCAAAACCAUGUGGGCUGGUGUCCCCAAACAAACAAAAACCAACAACCAGGGCCUGAAAAGAUGGCUCAGUGAGCUGAGAGUAAACUCUUCUCCCAGGAAUCCUGAGUUCAAUUCCUAGCAACUUGCCAGAUGUCUCACAACUACCUGUCAGUCUUGCUGCUGGCUAGAGCCUCUGUGAGCACCAUGUGCACAUACUGACUAUAGUUAAACUAACAGUAAAAGAAAAAAGCAGGAAAAUGAGGCAGAGCUUGUGAAGAGAGCUGUUAGUACUUUGUAAAGCUGAGAAUCCAAAUUCAAUCUACAGCUAUUUUGUGGGUUCUUUCUUCCGCCCUCGCAGCCCCCUAACACUACAGAAAAAAGGAAAGGAUAGAGAGAAAGGGAAAGAGAUCACUGAAUAACUCAGGUAUCAGAAAUGCGGCGAUGUCAUCCUUAAAAUGGUUCUGCUAUUAGGGACCUUGAGUUCAUUGGGGCAAGUUUGAUCUUUGUUAGAAUACCUAAUUACUUUUUGUUCUCUCUUCUUUGGACACAACCACUUAACAGACCAUAACUAACCACAUACCCUCUCGGGGCCCUAGCAUUUAUUAUAUAUCCACUGAAAAGUCCCCAAGAUGCCAAUCAUCACACAGUCACAGAAACUAUCUGCAGUUCGCAAAAUCACUCCCCUGUUAGAGCAGGAGGCAAGUUGUAGUCAGCCUUGUGGACACUCUGAAGCAGCCCCAGAUCCCACACCUGGAGUUAAGAUGAAAACAUUCUUACAAUGCUUUUGUGUCUUUUAAGGUAACCAAAAUGCCAAAAUUGUCAGUAUCUUUCCUUACUUCUGUUUGAAGCCAUUAAUUGUGGUGUUGAUAGAACCUAGUGAGGAAACCCCCACUCAAUUCCCGAUUUGGCGUGCACUCAAAAAAUCACGAAGGACCAUGUUGAUGUAAUUACAUGAGGUCGUUUAAUGACGGAGCUCUAGACCAACAUGCAUCCCACACAGGAGAUAACGGAUGUCGGCCACGAGGCUCGAAAGCUAGGGGUUUUUAUGGGGUAAGGUGCUUAGGGGUGUGGAAUUCAGCUUAGCAAUACACUAUUGGCUUCUUCUAACAUCAGCAGAAAAAUUAAAUGUACGUGCAGGGUGUCAGAGUUCUGUGAGUUGUUGACUCAGUUCAGAUAGCCCUGUUCUGUCUUCACAUUCACCCUUAUCUUUAAGGUUAAGCUGUUCCCAGGAAUGUUUUAACUACGGGGCAUGCCCAGGUUUGUUGGUCUUUAUUCUCAGUCACAGGCAUCCUCUAGGCUGACAAACAACCAGCAAUUUCUGAGUACUUUAUAUGACUUACAGGUCUUGAAAUUUCAUCUUUCUUUCAGUGUCUAUAUCAGGAAAUUUUAAAGAGAGACUGUAUCAAUGAAGUGAGCAUUUUUGGGUCAGUGGCCAAAGCUUUCAGGAGACCUCUCCUGCUUUUUCCACUGAAGUGGCUUUGCCUUAGAUGCAGGAAAACAGCAGCAGCUGAGCAAUCCUCUCACCUGCAUUAAAAUGCUUUUUUUUUUUAACAUAGGCCAUAAUUUUAAUUUCUCAUUUGAAAUCUUCACCUAUAUUUCCUGAAAGAACAAAUGAUUCCCUGGGAAAUCACUCCACUGCUUCCCAAGAUCAUUUCUAUUGUCCCUGAGGUCAGAGGACCAUAAACUCCAGUAGAUAUUUCAUAACACUGACUCUUGAGGGGUAGAGUAAGACAGUUAUCUGUGGCCAGCUCCAAAGCAGCACUGCCUGUUGUAGCAUGCAUUAGAACUGCACUACUCAGUUGAGGUUUUGGGGUCUGCAUGUUCUUCCUUGGCUGACAAGAGACAAACAGCCCAUAAUUUGUUCUGGGGGUGCUCCAUGCCCCAAGGCUAUUUCCUGAUGCAAAUAAAAUUGCCUUAAAUAUCUCACUUCACUUACAUUCACCCGUCUAAUGGCAAACCCUAACACAUUGCCUGCACACCCCCUAGAAGUCCAGGCCUUCUUUCUGGUUCGUAUUUAGAAGAACCAUUGCCCUUAGAGAUGCCUUGUUCACACUUUUGUUGCAAAUGAACAUAUUUCCCACAGUGAAAGUGCCAAGCAUUUUGAGAUCUGAGACCUUUAGUGGCUUGGUCAUAGUGUCUUUGCAAAUGACUGCAUUCCCUGCAAUUGACACACUGGGCAGUUUGAUAUUGGAGACCCCUAGUUACACCUUGACCUUUGAUAUUAGCAUACUGCACCUUAGAACUAAUAUUGGUUAUUCCCCUUAUCCACUCAUCCAUAGCUGCUGCCCGCACCUUUAAUGUUUUGUUUUGUUUUCUUAACAUUUGGCAUUUGAAUUUUCAAAUUUUAAGGUCUCUAUCGAUGCCUGCCUCAAUUCAGGGUCUGGCAGGGCUUUGCUCACAGCUGAGACUCAUCUUUGAAAGAAAAAUCAAAUCUCAAAUCAGUGAAGGCUUCUGCAGAGCCUUGGAUACGCUUUGUAAACAAGGUGGACCUUUUCUCAGGUUCAGCUUUAUCCCGAGUUCUUCAAGCUGCUAAGCGGCAGUGUUCUACGGCAGCACCAUUACGUUUGAUCUGUUUUGUAUCUUAAAGUACUGCCUUCAACUAGUAACUGGUCUUUCCCCAUAUUCAUUCUCUGUGCUUUGUUUCACUGUUCAAUACUCACAUGUCCUUCCUUCCACCAUGUUAACCAUUGCAACAGUGGGUGGACCCUAGUGCAGCUGCCACCAAUCCCUAACAAGCUCGGGGAAUAUUUGGGUAGCCUAGUAAUUUAGAAUUUACCUAAGGCGUAUGCAUCCCAUAUAAAAACAGUGGCCUCUUUAAACUGUCUAAGAUCAAUCAUUUAUAGGGCGACAUCCUGUUCACCAUAGCCUUGUUCCACACAUUAGAAGGUAUAUGCUGUAUGAAACUGGGGGAGCUGAUAGCGAUCUCAUAACCCUGGGUCACCCCUCCUCCCACUCUGGUGGUGCAGUUGGUUGGGGAUUAAAACUAUAUUCAGGACAGGAGAGAUGGCUCAGUGCUUAAGAGCACUGCCUGCUCUUCAAGAGGUCCUGAGUUCAAUUCCCAGCAACCACAUGGUGGCUCACAACUAUCUGCAAUGGGGAUCUGAUGCCCCCUCUACUGGUGUGUCUGAACACAGCUACAGUGCACAGUGUAUUUUAUAUACAUAGAAUAGAUAUUUUAAAAAACCAAAACCAAAAACCUUUGAUUAAAGUGGGAUGUUGGCUUUGAUGGUCCUCUGCCCUGUUAAGCUUUUCUCUGACCUCUGCCCUCCAGCACCAUUUCUAUCCCUCCUUCUUCCUGGGAAAGACUCCUGCUCUCUGGCUCCAUGACUAGAAUGGAGCCCUUUUGUGAUUUGUUUUCUGGCGCUCCUUGACUCCCAAGGGCUUUCAUUUCCACCCUCAAUUUUUCUAGUUAGAAAGCUAGCUAUCAGCUUUCAGAAAUAAAGUGCAGAGUGGGCCCUUUUGCUUUCCGAUUUCAGCCAUUUUGUGUUUCUUAACCCCUCCAUUCCCACCCACAGUUUUUCCUGUUGUAAAUCCAUUCCCUCAAACUUUUUCCAAACAGAAUAUAUGAAGAAGAAAAAGAAAAAGCAGAAAAUCUUCUCUGGGAGCAAAUCUGGGGAUAAUCCAGUCCUGGCAGUCCCAAUAAAGUUUUUGCUGGAACGUGGAAACAAAAAUAUCCAUUCCUUUGUCCUGCACCAGUUUCUCCACAGCAUUGGGAAUCAAAUCCCCAUUCAGCCUGGAUCCAUGUUGGGAAUUUUAGAACUGGAAUUUAGAACGGGAAUUUUAGAAUUUGGAUACUUUGUGGGUUUUUCUUUCUUCCCUUUUCUUCCACCGUUUUAGCCCCAUAACUAGAUAAGGAAGAAAGAAAGGUUACAGAGAUAAGAAUACUUCCCUAUCUAAACUCAGUUUCCAGUGACUAAAUGUGUCCCAUUUCUUCUCCUUGCUAUGCCACUGUGCUAACAUUAAUUGGUAUAGUUCUCAUAAAUUAGCCUAACUCUACAGAACAUUCCUCUAUGACCCAACUGUAUAAUCACGGGUUCAAAGUCUAAGUUUCAUUGAUUGCCUUUGAAGAUAGCAGGUUUCUGCUGCGGAAUCUACACUAUCAGACAUCGUGCUCUAACACAGGUUCCUUUGGUUGUCUUUUAACUAUGGACUUAAGCAGUUUCUCUUUCAUAACUAUAUUAUCAACUAUAUUCCCAAGGUCAAGGUUUUACAUUUCCGUAGUCUUUUAAAUGUAAUAUAUUCAUUCUCCUAGAUAGAAGGAAAAAUCCCUUCUUGUUCCUUCUGCUCCAGGAAAGCUUUUGCUUUUUCCAACUUCAUCUUAAAGACUGUUCAUGUUGUUAUCAAUUCUAUCUCUUUUAUAAACUCAUAAGCUACAGGAAACCCAAUCAGAUCUACCUCUCCUGGACCAAGUAGACACCAUCCAGAUAAGUACACCUGCCAAUCAAUGGCCUAUGUCCUCAUUUGCUACCUGUCUUAGUCAGGGUUUCUAUUCCUGCACAACACAUCAUGCCCAAGAAGCAAGUGGGUGAGGAAAGGUUGAUUCAGCUUAUACUUCUAAACUGCUGUUCAUCACCAAAGGGAAUCAGGACAGGAGCUCACACAGGGAAGGAACUUGGAGGCAGGAGCUGAUAUAGAAGCCUUGGAGGGGUGCUGCUUACUGGCUUGCUCAGCUUGCUUUCUUACAGAACCCAGAUCUAUCAGCCCAGGGAUGCCACCGCCCACAAUGGGCACUUCCACCUUGAUCAAUAAUUGAGAAAUAUUAUUGUCAAUUAUGUCUUAUUAUGCUGGAUCUCAUGGAGGCAUUUCCUCAAGAAAUUUCCUAAGAAAAGAUGUUUCUCUGCCAAAUUUAUUUAACUUUCAUCUCUACCUGUUGUGUGUGUGUCUGUGUGUUUCAGCAUCUUGUCAAGUCCAGCCAUUUACUACAUCCAGGACAGCUCCAGAGAAGCAACCCACCGGUGCUCCCAUCUUCUUUCACAGGCACAGAUGCACCUAUUGGACCUGCUCCAUCCUCUCUCUCCAUAGAUGGUUCCACAGACCCUGGACAGCAAGGAAACAGCCAACUCUGCUAAGACUGGACCGACUUCCCCAUACCCAUUUUCUUAGGGUUCCCAGACACAUGUCACCCCAAAGUCAGCAGGAAGUAGUCAGACAUCAUGAUAGUCAGACAUCAUGACAACCCUACUCCUGCUUCACCAUCACCACUUUGAAAAUUUCCCUUUUUUUAAUUAAACCAAAAUGGGGGAAUGUUAACAUUUCUUCUAGGCUCUGCCCUCGUUUCCUGCCAACAGCCAUGACUCAUUAUAAAAGGGUCUGCUUGCUCCCUCCUUUUGCUCUCUUGCUCUCUAACCCUCUUCUGCUCUGUCCCUUCUCUCCCCAUUCCCCUCCCCCCUCUAUAUGUGUUCUACUCCCUCUCUUUCUCUGUCUCUCUCUCUUUCUCUCUCAAUCCCUCUAUCCUUCCCCCUUCUCUCCCUCUCUCUCUGUCUCCCUGCCUCUGUCUCUAUUAAGCAGUCAACUCUCCUCCCCAUGCCUUAAAUGAACUCUAUUCUAUACUGUACCAUUGUGAGCUGGUCCCUCUGGAGGAAUGGAUGCCUGAGCAUGAGCUCACAGAGGUACCCCAUUCACCUACCCCACACUGUGCCUCCACCAACAUAUCCCUGGUUUCUUUGUCUUUUUUUAUAAAGUACAAACAGCUCUGAAUGAUGACAAAUAGGAUAAUAUCCCUUUUGUAAGUAGGUAUUUUUAUAUUAAAAUAACAAUGAGUCAGACUUAAAUCCU